UACGAAGGGGGCUAGCGUUGCUCGGAAUGACUGGGCGUAAAGGGCGCGUAGGCGGCUUGCACCGUCAGAUGUGAAAUUCCUGGGCUUAACCUGGGGGCUGCAUUUGAUACGUGUGGGCUUGAGUGCGGAAGAGGGUCGUGGAAUUCCCAGUGUAGAGGUGAAAUUCGUAGAUAUCGGGAGGAACACCAGUGGCGAAGGCGACUACCUGGCCUGUUCUUGACGCUGAGGCGCGAAAGCUAGGGGAGCAAACAGG
rnacentral:rRNA from 1 species